UACAGAGGGUGCAAGCGUUAAUCGGAAUGACUGGGCGUAAAGCGUGUGUAGGUGGUUGGAUAAGUUAGAUGUGAAAUCCCCGGGCUUAACCUGGGAACUGCGUUUAAAACUGUUUAACUAGAGUACUGUAGAGGGUAGUGGAAUUUCCAGUGUAGCGGUGAAAUGCGUAGAUAUUGGAAGGAACACCAGUGGCGAAGGCGACUACCUGGACAGAUACUGACACUGAGACACGAAAGCGUGGGGAGCAAACAGG
rnacentral:rRNA from 1 species